rnacentral:tRNA from 1 species
CUGGGUGUAGCUCAGUCUGGUAGAGCACCGGGCCUGGAACCCGGGGGCCGCAGGUUCAAAUCCUGCCGCCCAGACCA